GACGAACGCUGGCGGCAUGCCUAAUACAUGCAAGUUGAACGAUGAUAUUCUCUGCUUGCAGAGAAUUGAAGAGUAGCGAACGGGUGAGUAACACGUGGGGAACCUGCCCAUGAGAGGGGGAUAACAUUCGGAAACGGAUGCUAAUACCGCAUAAUGCUUUGGACCGCCUGGUCCAGAGACGGAAGACGGCUUUUGCUGUCACUCAUGGAUGGCCCCGCGCCGUAUUAGCUAGUUGGUGAGGUAAUGGCUCACCAAAGCUGUGAUACGUAGCCGACCUGAGAGGGUGAUCGGCCACACUGGGACUGAGACACGGCCCAGACUCCUACGGGAGGCAGCAGUAGGGAAUCUUCCACAAUGGGCGAAAGCCUGAUGGAGCAAUGCCGCGUGAAUGAAGAAGGUCUUCGGAUCGUAAAGUUCUGUUAUUAGAGAAGAACAAGUCAAGGAGUAACUGUCUUGACUUUGACGGUACCUAACCAGAAAGUCACGGCUAACUACGUG
rnacentral:rRNA from 1 species